GUAUUGAGUGCACCCAGUCAGUGAUCCACUUCUCCUCGGGGGGCCCACGUGCUCUGUGCACCCAAUUACCCAGUUCUUGGGGGUGACCCUGGUGCUCUGCCAACUGGGCUCACUCCCCCUGUAGCACUGUUGUCCACCCUACCCUGUCUUGGUAAGGCUGGGCUUUCAGAGCAGCGUUUGCUGUGCUGUGGUUAGUCCCACCCGUUUCUCAUUGCUGUCUUGGAGCAAAAGGGCUUGGAGACUGAUGCUGCCCCCGAGCCCAGGGCGGAAGGACACAUGUGCUAGCCUGCAUGGGCAGGUGUGUGUGGCCUCCAUGGUCAGCCGCUGGCUCUGGGCUCUGGCGUGUGGCCAAGUUCCUGUCCUCGGGGAGCUUCUUUGUGCUGGGAGACAGAGCUUGAGCUUAAUGCCAGGCAGGGACACUUGCUGUGGGAGCUGAGGAGAGCCCUGGGAGGGUGGCUUGAGAGCAGGCCUGGAUCCCGGAGCUGUCGCACAGCCACCUGUGUGCAGCCAGCAUGAGCCACCCCAGAUAGGCUGAGGGCCGGCUCUCCUGUACUGAGGACUUCCGUGUCCACCCCAUAGGUGGUGCUCAGCACCGCAGCCCUCACACACCAUCAAGCCUUCAUGUGUGUUGGUGAAAAUGGAGAGGCUUUGUCCAUGUUUGCGUGCCCAGCCCAGCAUACCCGUCAUGCCUGUGCUGGGGUCCGGGCCUCAGGCCCUGGGCAUGGCCAGCCUGGCUACCUGCUGUUGUGGAGACAAUCCUAGGGCUUUGCUGGACCAGGAGAAAUGAUCAAGCGACGUGUCCCCAUCUGUCUUGUGGUCCUUUAAUGCCCAUGUGUGGUGGCCCCAUCUUCCCGUCUUCAUUCCACACCCUGGCAGCCGCAGCUGUGCUGGUGGCUCCAGGGACCCCAUGCUGCUUUCAGAGUUGGGCAGGACAGGGCCGUCGGAUGCCAGAGGCUUUUGGGAACUGGAUGUCCGGGAUUGCCCUCUCGUGACCCAGUAAGGCCAUCUCAGGUGGAAUGCAAUGGGAAGGCUGUUGUUCUGUGUAAGUCAGUGCCUUUUCUCCAUCUAUUUAGUGUGAGAUCUUCACAGCAAACAGCCUUCGGCACAGUUAGGACGUCAGUGCCCCCCGCUCCAGCCCGGCCCAGGGGGUGCCUGCUGCUGCCCACGGGCUCAUCGGCCCCUGACAGGGUGGAGUCCAUGGAGGUUGACCUUACCCCUUCUCCAGUGAGAAGAGUAAGUGCUUUUCCAUACACGGGUGCUUGCAUGAUGGGUGCAGCUCCUGGGGGUGGGGAAUGGAUAUGAGCAAGAUUCCAUCACUGCCUGAUGCUGGGCGAGUGCGAGCAGAGGGCUGGGGAGGUGCCUGUGGUGUCCCCGCCUUGGCUACGGUUCUGAGAAGGCGCAGAACGAUGCUGUCCCCUGAGGGCAUUUCAGGCAUGGAAAGCCAAGACACUGUGGCAAAAAAUGACCUACAUGAAAGAUCUCUGUGAGUGAGAGCCCAGUGGAAAGAAGGGGCCAUCAAGGAAGGAGGUACCUUUCUCUGAAGGGAAGAGAGAACUUCCACUUUGACUAUGGCCCUGUCUAAAUAAGGUUGGAGUUUGUGAACUCAAGAGGCUUCCAUAGCCUUGGCAGCUCAUGACAAGAGCCUCAGGAGAUCACUGACGUCAUAAAUAAGAGAGUCAAUUGUUAAAUCAACAACGGGAGUCACUGUGCACUUGCUCCCCAUGUAGGUCCUCUGUCCUUAAUGAGUUGUACUAUGAGAAUUAAUGGUAAAACUAGUACUCAAACAGUACUUUAUACUUUGUGUGUCUGUGUGGGUGAAAACUGUUGAAAUCUUUACUUAGUGUAGAGCUGGUCUUCUGUAUAUAAAGACAAUUAAAAAUGAACCUUAAUGAAGAAUGGAAUGGGAGAGUAGGAGGUAGGAUGGGAGUGAGGGUGGGAGAGCGGGAAUAGGGGGAAGAACCACUAUAUUCCUAAAAGCCACUAUAUUCCUAAAAAUACAUAUGAAAUUUGUAUUCAUUAAAUAAAAACCUCCUAAGAAAAAAAGAAACA
ensembl:lncRNA